AGAGUUUGAUCCUGGCUCAGGAUGAACGCUGGCGGCGUGCCUAAUACAUGCAAGUCGAGCGAACGGACGAGAAGCUUGCUUCUCUGAUGUUAGCGGCGGACGGGUGAGUAACACGUGGAUAACCUACCUAUAAGACUGGGAUAACUUCGGGAAACCGGAGCUAAUACCGGAUAACAUUUUGAACCGCAUGGUUCAAAAGUGAAAGACGGUCUUGCUGUCACUUAUAGAUGGAUCCGCGCUGCAUUAGCUAGUUGGUAAGGUAACGGCUUACCAAGGCAACGAUGCAUAGCCGACCUGAGAGGGUGAUCGGCCACACUGGAACUGAGACACGGUCCAGACUCCUACGGGAGGCAGCAGUAGGGAAUCUUCCGCAAUGGGCGAAAGCCUGACGGAGCAACGCCGCGUGAGUGAUGAAGGUCUUCGGAUCGUAAAACUCUGUUAUUAGGGAAGAACAUAUGUGUAAGUAACUGUGCACAUCUUGACGGUACCUAAUCAGAAAGCCACGGCUAACUACGUGCCAGCAGCCGCGGUAAUACGUAGGUGGCAAGCGUUAUCCGGAAUUAUUGGGCGUAAAGCGCGCGUAGGCGGUUUUUUAAGUCUGAUGUGAAAGCCCACGGCUCAACCGUGGAGGGUCAUUGGAAACUGGAAAACUUGAGUGCAGAAGAGGAAAGUGGAAUUCCAUGUGUAGCGGUGAAAUGCGCAGAGAUAUGGAGGAACACCAGUGGCGAAGGCGACUUUCUGGUCUGUAACUGACGCUGAUGUGCGAAAGCGUGGGGAUCAAACAGGAUUAGAUACCCUGGUAGUCCACGCCGUAAACGAUGAGUGCUAAGUGUUAGGGGGUUUCCGCCCCUUAGUGCUGCAGCUAACGCAUUAAGCACUCCGCCUGGGGAGUACGACCGCAAGGUUGAAACUCAAAGGAAUUGACGGGGACCCGCACAAGCGGUGGAGCAUGUGGUUUAAUUCGAAGCAACGCGAAGAACCUUACCAAAUCUUGACAUCCUUUGACAACUCUAGAGAUAGAGCCUUCCCCUUCGGGGGACAAAGUGACAGGUGGUGCAUGGUUGUCGUCAGCUCGUGUCGUGAGAUGUUGGGUUAAGUCCCGCAACGAGCGCAACCCUUAAGCUUAGUUGCCAUCAUUAAGUUGGGCACUCUAAGUUGACUGCCGGUGACAAACCGGAGGAAGGUGGGGAUGACGUCAAAUCAUCAUGCCCCUUAUGAUUUGGGCUACACACGUGCUACAAUGGACAAUACAAAGGGCAGCGAAACCGCGAGGUCAAGCAAAUCCCAUAAAGUUGUUCUCAGUUCGGAUUGUAGUCUGCAACUCGACUACAUGAAGCUGGAAUCGCUAGUAAUCGUAGAUCAGCAUGCUACGGUGAAUACGUUCCCGGGUCUUGUACACACCGCCCGUCACACCACGAGAGUUUGUAACACCCGAAGCCGGUGGAGUAACCUUUUAGGAGCUAGCCGUCGAAGGUGGGACAAAUGAUUGGGGUGAAGUCGUAACAAGGUAGCCGUAUCGGAAGGUGCGGCUGGAUCACCU
rnacentral:rRNA from 1 species